rnacentral:tRNA from 1 species
GUCCUUAUAGCUCAAUGGUAGAGCGUCAGUCUUUAAAACUGAAGGUCUGUAGUUCGAUUCUACAUAGGGACA